UCGCAAUGAUGAAAAUGAUUCCAAUGCCAUUCGUAGUUUCCACCAGAAGUCGAGAGACAAGUGUUGGCUUAAAGUACCUUCCUUGGAUGUCUGAGCGA
ensembl:snoRNA SNORD14 Small nucleolar RNA SNORD14